rnacentral:rRNA from 1 species
AGUCGAACGGCAGCACGGACUUCGGUCUGGUGGCGAGUGGCGAACGGGUGAGUAAUGUAUCCGGAACGUGCCUAGUAGCGGGGGAUAACUACGCGGCGUAGCUAAUUACCGCAUACGCCCUUCGGGGAAAGCGGGGACCUUCGGGCCUCGCACUAUCAAGCAGCCGAUAUCGGAUUAGCUAGUUGGUGAGGUAACGGCUCACCAAGGCGACGAUCCAUCGCUGGUUUGAGAGGACGACCAGCCACACUGGGACUGAGACACGGCCAGACUCCUACGGGAGGCAGCAGUGAGGAAUUUUGGACAAUGGGGAAACCCUGAUCAGCCAUCCCGCGUAUGCGAUGAAGGCCUUCCGGGUUGUAAAGCACUUUUGGCAGGAAAGAAACGGCUGGGGAUAAUACCCGUGCAACUGACCGAAACACCUGCAGAAUAAGCACCGGCUAACUACGUGCCAGCAGCCGCGGUAGCCGUAGGGUGCAAGCGUUAAUCGGAAUUACUGGGCGUAAAGCGUGCGCAGAGCGGUUCCGGAAAGAAAGAUCAUGAAAUCCCAGAGCUUAACUUUGGAACUGCAUUUUUAACUUCUGAGCUAGUGUCAGAGGGAGGUGGAAUUCCGCGUCUUAGCAGUGAAAUGCGUAGAUAUGCGGAGGAACACCGAUGGCGAAGGCAGCCUCCUGGGAUAACAACACUGACGCUCAUGCACGAAAGCGUGGGGGAGCAAACAGGAUUAGAUACCCUGUUGGUCACGCCCUAAACGAUGUCAACUAGCUGUGUUGGGGCCUUCAGGCCUUGGUGGCACAACUAACGCGUGAAGUUAUUGCCACCAAGAAUACGGUCGCAAGAUUAAAACUCAAAAGGAAUUGACGGGGACCCGCACAAGCGGUGGAUGAUGUGGAUUAAUUCGAUGCAACGCGAAAACCUUACCUACCCUUGACAUGUCUGGAAUCCCGAAGAGAUUUGGGGGUGCUCACCAAAGAGAACCGGAACGCAGGUGCUGCACUGGCUGUCGUCAGCUCGUGUCGUGAGAUGUUGGGUUAAGUCCCACCAACGAGCACCAACCCCUUGUCAUUCUUGGUGCUACGAAAGGGCACUCUAAUGAGACUGCCGGUGACAAACCGGAGGAGGUGGGGAUGACGUCAAGUCCUCCUUGGCCCUUAUGGGUAGGGCUUCACACGUCCUUAAUGGUCGGGACAGAGGGUCGCCAACCCGCGGGGAGCCAAUCCCAGAAGCCCCGAUCGUAGUCCGGAUCGCAGUCUGCAACUCGACUGCGUGAAGUCAGAAUCGCUAGUAAUCGCGGAUCAGCAUGUCGCGGUGAAUACGUUCGGGUCUUGUACACACCGCCCGUCACACCAUGGGGUGGGUUUUACCAAAGUAAUUAGCCUAACCGUAGAGGGCGAUUACCACAGUGAUUCAUGAGCUGGGGUGAAGUCGCUAAGGUAG